AGUAUGGACUAUUAUUCGUCUGUUACGAGGUUGGUUAACACGACAUUUUCAUAUUUUUGACGGAAAUUAGAACAUGAUCCAAGUUUUGAAACGUGAAUGUUAGAAUGGAAGCACCGCUUUGAAAUCAUUGAAGUUUGAAAUAUAUAUGUUGAAAUUUGAAUUGGAAAUUUGAAAAUCAAUAAAUGAAGAGCAGACGAAAAUACUACAGGAAGAGCAAGCAAGUUUUGAUUGUUGAAAGCAUAUGAACCACAUAUGAACUUUAUCACAGCGACUUAAAUUCGUUCAAUACUUCAAGUGCUUUUAGCGAAGUAGUUUAUCUGCAAAGG